UGAGACGUUGAUGAUGCUCCUAUCACCAUGGUUAUGUGAUUGGGUAUAUCUUGCCCUCGGUCCUAACUGCCACUGUCUGUGCUGAGUUUUUCAAAGUUCAUAGCAGGUUGAACAUGCUUGCUGUCAUUUUCACAGAUUCUGGUCUUUCUUAUGGGGAACCUGAGUUCCUGCAUUAAAGUUCCCCCAGAAGAUCAAUGGAAGGUGGAUUCCAAAGAGUGGGCAAGUGAGGACCCCUUCUCUGUUACCAAGGUGACCCCAAGGAACACAGUAAAUGAAAUUUUAAGAAGAUAUAGCCUCUACACCAAGAGGCACAUGACACAACCUGGACUCUGGGCAAACCACCGGGUGCACUCACAUGAAGUGGCGGCUUAUUUGGCCUCCCCAGGACGGACUGGAGCAUCAGUAGUGCCUGAGUUCAUCAAAGGACAGAUGCUCAAGACACCUUGAUCACCAUUAGGUGGAAUUGAAGGAGCCAAAAAUGGGCGCAGUGGCUCCUCAGCAGAGACGCUCCUGAAUGUAUAGACAUGGGAACCACUUUCAGCAUCAAAAAAGGAAACGUUCUGCAUGCCCAUAUCCAGAAAAAUCCCCACUCGCUGUAACUUGCGGUCUACUAAGAGGAAAGUCAGCGGCACCGUGCUGGCAGAGAGGCGGCUUCCAUCCCUCAAACUCACAGUCCAGAAUCCAAGCUCUGUGGUCAGCUGGAUCUUCCCUUUGCAGUGAACAGAUUCUCUGCAGACUCCCAGGUCCCAUUCUGUGCUUGUUCCCACGUCCACCUCCCAGUAGUGGCGGCCACAGGUAAAGCGAGGGGAGCCCAGGAUGCAAACGGACACGUCAAAUCUCUCGGCAAGGUCUUGCCGAUUCUGUGUGAUGAGCCCACUUCGGACGCUCCUGAGGUCGUCAGAAAUGAGGAGGAAGUUGUUGGCUGUGUCGGCAUCCAAGGUCAUAUCCACUGUGAAAAGGAAAACAAGUUGCUCAGCAAGUGGACAGAAGCCAACCCCAUGCCUCUCUUCUACUUCAAAGGCCCAAAUAUCUCCUGACUUUAGUUUCUUUAAUUCUGUUUCUUCCUCCAAAAUCAAAACUUUUCAUGAGGAAACUUCCCUAUUUCAAAUUUUCAUAGGUAUGCUUUGUGGCAAUACGUGACUCUUAUUCACAGUAGCAAUUCUUAUUUUACUUUACGUCACGUGUUUGCUUCACUGAACUUUUCUUCAUUUAGAGUGGAGGGUCUCUGAAGGCAGACACCAUGCCCCCCUUUCUACCACCUUGAUGUGUGAACAAAUAAAUGAUAAUUAAGACAAAAAAAAAAAAAAAAAAAAAAAAAAAAAAA
rnacentral:lncRNA from 1 species